rnacentral:misc_RNA from 1 species
GCCUAUGGAGUUUUUUUUUUCAAUCAUUGACACUUUCUAUCAUGGUGCUUUAUCCAAAUCCUUUGAACAUAAAUACAUUUAACUCACCUAUGAUUUUGUGUCAUAGAAAAAAGUUCCAUUGGCUUUAUAAUAGCUAAAAAGUUGAUCGAAUUCUUUCAGUUUCAUUUUCGAUCUGAUACUGAAAUGAAUUCUCUGUUGCUCCGCAGGUGGGUACUUCUGGAG